rnacentral:rRNA from 1 species
GAUGAACGCUGGCGGCGUGCCUAAUACAUGCAAGUCGAGCGAACGGACGAGAAGCUUGCUUCUCUGAUGUUAGCGGCGGACGGGUGAGUAACACGUGGAUAACCUACCUAUAAGACUGGGAUAACUUCGGGAAACCGGAGCUAAUACCGGAUAAUAUUUUGAACCGCAUGGUUCAAAAGUGAAAGACGGUCUUGCUGUCACUUAUAGAUGGAUCCGCGCUGCAUUAGCUAGUUGGUAAGGUAACGGCUUACCAAGGCAACGAUGCAUAGCCGACCUGGGAGGGUGAUCGGCCACACUGGAACUGAGACACGGUCCAGACUCCUACGGGAGGCAGCAGUAGGGAAUCUUCCGCAAAGGGCGAAAGCCUGACGGAGCAACGCCGCGUGAGUGAUGAAGGUCUUCGGAUCGUAAAACUCUGUUAUUAGGGAAGAACAGAUGUGUAAGUAACUGUGCACAUCUUGACGGUACCUAAUCAGAAAGCCACGGCUAACUACGUG